UCACUUUAUUCAUGUGUGUAUCACUUUUUCUGGGGGUUCUCUCCUGAAUAGAUGGCCGACUCCGGAGGUCAGCCGCAGCUGACUCAACCAGGCAAGCUGACCGAGGCCUUCAAGUACUUCCUGCAAGGCAUGGGCUACAUGGCCUCAUCCUGCAUGACUCGCCUGUCCCGAUCUCGCACAGCUUCCCUGACCAGUGCAGCAUCCAUGGAUGGCAGCCGG